GACGAACGCUGGCGGCGUGCUUAACACAUGCCAGUCGAACGGAAAGGCUCCAGCUUGCUGGAGUACUCGAGUGGCGAACGGGUGAGUAACACGUGGGUAAUCUGCCCUGCACUCUGGGAUAAGCCUGGGAAACUGGGUCUAAUACUGGAUAUGACCUUUCUCCUUAUGGGGUUUGGUGGAAAGUGUUUCGGUGUAGGAUGAGCCCGCGGCCUAUCAGCUUGUUGGUGGGGUGAUGGCCUACCAAGGCGACGACGGGUAGCCGGCCUGAGAGGGUGAUCGGCCACAUUGGGACUGAGAUACGGCCCAGACUCCUACGGGAGGCAGCAGUGGGGAAUAUUGCACAAUGGGCGGAAGCCUGAUGCAGCGACGCCGCGUGAGGGAUGACGGCCUUCGGGUUGUAAACCUCUUUCAGCAGGGACGAAGCGUAAGUGACGGUACCUGCAGAAGAAGCACCGGCUAACUACGUG
rnacentral:rRNA from 1 species